rnacentral:rRNA from 1 species
ACGAACGCUGGCGGCGUGCCUAAUACAUGCAAGUAGCACGCUGAAGGAGGAGCUUGCUUCUCUGGAUGAGUUGCGAACGGGUGAGUAACGCGUAGGUAACCUGCCUGGUAGCGGGGGAUAACUAUUGGAAACGAUAGCUAAUACCGCAUAAUAGUAGAUGUUGCAUGACAUUUGCUUAAAAGGUGCAAUUGCAUCACUACCAGAUGGACCUGCGUUGUAUUAGCUAGUUGGUGGGGUAACGGCUCACCAAGGCGACGAUACAUAGCCGAUCUGAGAGGGUGAUCGGCCACACUGGGACUGAGACACGGCCCAGACUCCUACGGGAGGCAGCAGUAGGGAAUCUUCGGCAAUGGACGGAAGUCUGACCGAGCAACGCCGCGUGAGUGAAGAAGGUUUUCGGAUCGUAAAGCUCUGUUGUAAGAGAAGAACGAGUGUGAGAGUGGAAAGUUCACACUGUGACGGUAUCUUACCAGAAAGGGACGGCUAACUACGUG